AGGAGAGAAUGGCGGAUAAAGUGGGGCUGCUAACUUUGCUUUGGGUGGUUCGAUUCCAUCCCUUUCCUU
rnacentral:tRNA from 1 species